AAUACUGGGCGUAAAGAGCUCGUAGGUGGUUUGUCGCGUUGUACGUGAAAUCUCACGGCUUAACUGUGAACGUGCGGGCGAUACGGGCAGACUUGAGUACUGCAGGGGAGACUGGAAUUCCUGGUGUAGCGGUGAGAAUGCGCAAAUAUCAGGAGGAACACCGGUGGCGAAGGCGAGGUCUCUGGGCAGUAACUGACGCUGAGGAGCGAAAGCGUGGGGAGCGAACAGGAUUAGAUACCCUGGUAGUCCACGCCGUAAACGGUGGGUACUANGUGUGGGUUUCCUUCCUUGGGAUCCGUGCCGUAUCUAACGCAUUAAUUACCCCGCCUGGGGAGUACGGCCGCAGUGCUAAAACUCAAAGAAAUUGACGGGGGCCCGCACAAGCGGCGGAGCAUGUGGAUUAAUUCGAUGCAACGCGAAGAACCUUACCUGGGUUUGACAUGCACAGGACGCCGGCAGAGAUGUCGGUUCCCUUGUGGACUGUGUGCAGGUGGUGCAUGGCUGUCGUCAGCUCGUGUCGUGAGAUGUUGGGUUAAGUCCC
rnacentral:rRNA from 1 species